ACUCAAAGGAAUUGACGGGGACUUGCACAAGUAGUGGAUUAUGUGGCUUACAAUUCGAUGAUAAACGAAGAACCUUACCAGGGUUAGAAAUCUAGUUGACGCCUAGAGGAAACUUUAGGCUUCCGCAAGGACAAUUAGACAGGUGAUGCAUGGUCGUCGUCAGUUCGUGGUUUGAACUGUUCCCUUAAGUGGGGUAACGAACGCAACCCUCGUUGGCUGUUACAAGUGUCAGCUGAGACUGCCCCGUGAAAUGUGUCUGUUUUAAAAAAACGGACCCAUCUCACGGGGAGGAAGGUGAGGAUGACGCCAGAUCAGCAUGUCCCUCUGAUACCCUGGGCUGCACACAUAAUACAAUCGCCGCUACAACAGGUUCCGAUAUCGUAAGAUGGAGGCAAUCCUUAGAAAAGCGGCGCCAGUUCGGAUUGAAGUCUGCAACUCGACUUCAUGAAGCCGGAAUUACUAGUAAUCGCAGGUCAGCUAUACUGCGGUGAAUACGUUCUCAAGUCUUGUACACACCGCCCGU
rnacentral:rRNA from 1 species